UGCUGUGACGUAUUUGCCCCGAGAGACAGCCAACCCCACAGUCACAGUCACAGCCACAGCUGUAUCUGGUUUAUUGCUCUUGUGGUUGCCGCUGCUGCUGCUGCUGCUGCUACCUCUGCUGCUGUCGUGCCGUGGGGUUUCCUCUCACCAGGUUCGAGCAUUUGGCAGUGGGUCGAGAAUCGCGGGGCCUGACUCGACCAAGUUCAAGUGCGGCAACAGGCUAGAACGUGUAGUGGUGUUGGUGCCUUAACUGCUGCUGCUGCUGCUGCUGCUGGAGCGGGGUUAAACCAUUAGCGCGUGCGCGCGUCAGUCCACCCGUUGAAAUAACCAAAACAUUUGGAAUUGUCUCAGGCGUCAUUAGAAAAGCCUAAACGAAUUGGAAUACCAGAAGAAACGAAAGCAAAAUCUUCUGAAUGGUUGCGAGGGGGGAAAUACCAAAAGAAUCUGAACCAAAACAAAGCAAGGAUAACAAAAGCACAAUGCUGUAGAGAUCACAUCUGGAGCGGAUACAAAUGCGGAUCGAUCAUGUUCUAGACCACAUUCCGGGGGCGGAUACAAUCACAAAUCAUUUAGGAACACAGCACACAGAAGAAAGAAACAAGCCGCUGAUCACUAGAUCCUCCUACAAGAAACCAAGGAAAAGUCUAAGCCCUGGAACAUGCUCUGGGACACGUCAUCAAGGUAUCUUUCUGUCAGCAAGGUAUUUUUGCCUUCACCAAGUCCACUCCAUGCCAGAGAUUCUUUAAAUAUCUCCAAGUGAAUAUCAAGCGAAAGCCAAGGCAAGUACUUUAGUAGCAGAUGAUAAUUAAGGCUGAUCAAUUACUUUCAGCGAUUCGAAAGCACUCGGAGACUGACCUCUAGCAAAUGGCACCAAGCAUUAGCCACAUGUUUCGUUUUCAAGAUCGUGCUUCGUUCUAGAAGACCUGACCAGAUGAUAGAUGUAUAUCGUAUAAUAAAUACUUGGGGAUACACUUGCAGCACAGCUGGCAGCGGUUGUCUGUCUGCAAUCUGUGUCUGGGAAUUAAAAAAAAAAAAAUUACCAGAGAGAGAGAGCUGGUGAAGGGCAAUCGCCGGACUCCGAACUCCCCGACAAUUGUAUGCAAAUGAACGCGUGCCGUGCCUUCACUUGUCUCUAAAAAGUUUCUUCGCCUUUUCAUCGUACAAUAUGCAAUAGAAUUCUUUAUUGUAAUUUAUUUUUUGUUGUUGUGU